UGGGGAAUAUUGCACAAUGGGCGCAAGCCUGAUGCAGCCAUGCCGCGUGUAUGAAGAAGGCCUUCGGGUUGUAAAGUACUUUCAGUCGGGAGGAAGGUGGUAAGGUUAAUAACCUUGGCAAUUGACGUUACCGACAGAAGAAGCACCGGCUAACUCCGUGCCAGCAGCCGCGGUAAUACGGAGGGUGCAAGCGUUAAUCGGAAUUACUGGGCGUAAAGCGCACGCAGGCGGUUGAUUGAGUCAGAUGUGAAAUCCCCGGGCUUAACCCGGGAAUUGCAUCUGAUACUGGUCAGCUAGAGUCUUGUAGAGGGGGGUAGAAUUCCAGGUGUAGCGGUGAAAUGCGUAGAGAUGUGGAGGAAUACCGGUGGCGAAGGCGGCCCCCUGGACAACGACUGACGCUCAGGUGCGAAAGCGUGGGGAGCAAACAGG
rnacentral:rRNA from 1 species